UCUGCUCAGUAUAGUCGAGAAGCUGAAAGAUACACCAACAUGCGGUUUCUGUUGACCAUUGUUCUUUUGGUGGCUGUAGUCAUGGUUGCUGUCGACGCGCACAGUCGAGCUCGCCAUCGUCGUUACAGUCGAAACCAUAGAAUCGUGCGGAAACCAUCAGCCGUAUUCGAGAACAAGAAACUAAACCUGAAGAAAAUACACUGCCAUAGUGUAAAGAGGUCGGGUCUCUGUGAGAGAUGCUGUGAGAAAACCCAUGGUCAUUACGAGAGAAGCUUACCGGGAUUCCAACAUAAGAGCAAAUAUCUGAAGAACUUAAAAUGUAGUAGGGUAAAGAGAUCAGGCCUUUGUGAUAGAUGCUGUGAUCCGUGUUAUAAAGUACAGUGUAAUGCACCUCUAAUGUGUGCAGGGGGUGUCUGUAAAUGCAACGGUGACGUCUGUAAAGAGGAUCAAACCUGCAGUAAAACCAGUCAUGGUAUCUAUUGUGUCGAUAAUCAAGCUGCAACUAAACUACCAACAACCGACGUCACUUACCCAACUAAUCCACCGACUUCCCCAACUUCACGACCAACUUGUCGAAGUAUACCAUAUAAAAUCGUUUUCCAUCCAUGUUCAGGGUAUUUACAACACCACAGAAAAACACAAACAAGCUAAUUAACUCAAGAAAAUCAACACAAAGCUGACUGACACAUAGAAUAUGAACUAAAUUAAAGAUACAUCAAUUAAGAGCUAAAUCUGCCUAUUUGCAAGUCUUUCUUUUGACUUCAUAUGGUAUAGAAAUUAUUAAUUAGACCUUUAUUUACACGACAAGCUUAAAAUCAACCAUGUAGGCCCUCGGAUGGCCUGGAUACAGCUUGGAUUUAAACAGUCGCCCAUUUAAUAAUUAAAUCAAUAAAUAGCCGACCAAGCUAAUGUUUACCGUUAGUUCUGCCGACGAAAGGCCUGUUAAUCGAGGGUACAGUAGCCAUCGAGAAUGUUACUUGAUAAUCGAGAAUAUGUGGAUGGAUUUAUCGUCCAAACAGUGACAACUCCGUUCAGAAUAAAUUAUUUGACUGAAAUUUUCAAUAUUUAUUUUUUUUUUUUUAUCAUCUAUUUUUGAAUUAUUAUAGCAAGAAUGACCAAGUCUUUAUAAAAUUCUUAACUAAUGUAUGUUUAAGAAGACCGGCCAAAUUUCAAGGAUAAUGUAUGUAUUCGAACAAGGAACAGAAAACAAAUUUCUUUGUCUUGUUAUUGUAAAACGAGGAAUUGUCGCCCGUAUGGUAUUUAAUCCUAAACAUACCAAGAACCCCAGUUUGCAUUAAUUUCUAGCUACACCAGGUUUAACAAUUUCAAAUUUCAUCUAAAUAGUUUCCAUUAUUUCCAGUGCCGGAUUAACCAUGGUUGGGGCCUGAGGGCUUCAGCAUGUGGGGGCCACCAACUAACACAAGUGACCAGAACUUCGGCAGUAUUAUUCCACAUAGAUAAAUGUAGCUACAUGAAACCUACUUUGAAAUCGGUGUCUGAUAAAUAAUGGGGAGACCUUGAUACGGAGAGUCAUAUCCGAGAUGGCGGUAAAGUUACCACAUAGUAACCGGAUUAUCAAAUAAUUAUAAUUUAGGGGUCAAACGUCGAAGAAUACGAGUCCAGAAACUAAAAUCCCUCGAUUCACAAAAAGAAAAAAUUAAGUUCGAGAAUUACCAAUGACAUUUUUGACAGAUUCUGGGUUCAACCUUCUAGAAACCAAGUUGUAACCAACUUUUUGCCGCUAAAGAUGAUUUUAAUACGUUUUCUUAAUAAACGUUUCCUGCUAAAUAAACAAAAAAAGAAACACGGACCAGUCGAAAGUAUUGCGCUGCACAACGGAUUACACCAAAUUCUCGGAUGUUUACCGCAACACGUGCCGACCAUGGAUUGAAGGGUGCCUCAACGGAGUUCUCGAUCCGACCAUGCUCAUGUGGCUUUUUGUGCAACUGAGAUUUUUGUGCGGUCCCCUGAUGCUCCGUGGUUAACCCGGUGUUGUUUUACGCAGUUUGAUCACAAUAUUCACAAAUUAAAUGCCGCAAAUAUUGUCUUUUAAAGAUACAUUAUGGGAGAUUAGAUAAACAGCUGGCAGUUCGUACUAUAAUAGUUAAAAACUAGAUAAUGUAAAGGGAAUUUGCUGAAAAUUUCGGUCAAAUUGAUCCACCCUGAACCACGUAUCACCUUGAAACUUUACAAACUUAUUCCUUCUAUCCUAAGGAACACCCCUAUUGUUUGUGGUAAAUGCCCAACCCCCAUGGGAAGAGCCACGCCCAUUUUCCUUUUGUAUGUCUGUGUGUCACUUACAGCCCGCAAUGCUUAAUCUUUUUUAUACUUCUACCUUAUACCCUAAGGCUGACCUCUAUUAUUUUUGGUGCAUGUCCGACCCCCUGGGACAGAGUCACGCCCAAUGUUUGUAUGUCUUGUGUUUCGCCUACAGGCCGCAAUUCUUAACAGAUCCCUUUGAAACUUUGCAUACCUACUCCUUAUACCCUAAGGAUGACCCCUAUUGAUUUUUGGUGAUUGCCCACCCCCCAGGAGCAGAGCCACGCCCAUUUUCUUUGUGUCUCUGUGUGUUGCCUACAGGCCACGAUGAUUAAUGGAUCGUCUUUGAACUUGGGGUAUGUAUUCCUUAUAGCCUAAGGAAGACAACUGCAUGUCCCGACCCCCAGGGGCAGAGCCACGCCCAAUUUUUGCCUUUAGCGCCCGAAGGUCACAAUUAUGAAUGGAUUAUCUUGGAACUUGGUAUACUUAUUCCUUAUACCCUAAAGACGGCAACUAUUGCUGUUGGUGCACGACCCACUCCUCCACCCCACCCCCACCACCACCUGCAUUUUUGGUGAGGCCACACCCACUUUUUGUUGAUAUUUUGGCUGUAGAUGAUAUACAGGUUGCAAAUAUUAACAGAUUUGGAUCCAAUUCGGAAUGAUCCAGCAUCCGGGUUGUACCUAUAUAUAUAUUUGUCUAUGUCCAACCCCCAGGGACAGAGCCACGCCCAAUUUUUGUGGGUUUUUUUGUCUACAGGCUGGAAUUCUAAAUAGAUCAUCUUGGAACUUGGCAUAUUUAUUCUUUAUACUGUAUGGAUAGCAAUUAUUUAUUUUGGUGCAUGUCCAGACCCCCAGGGUUGUGGUACCAGACCACUUUUUUGUUAGUUUUUAUCGGUAAAUACUCUACAGGUUCCAAUAAUUAACAGAUUUUGUUCAAAUUCAGCAUAUCAAUCAUUUCAAUAACAGGGUGGUACCUAUUUAUAUUGUUCCAUAUCCAACCCCCAGGGGCAGACCCACGCCAUUUUUUGUAUGUAUCGUCUACAGACUGAAAUUCUGAAUGGAUCAUCUUGGAACUUUGCAUAUUUAUUCCUUAUACUGUAAAGACAGCAACUAUUUGUUUUGAUGCAUGCCCCGACCCUCUGGGGCAGUGUCACGCACCCUUUUUUGUUAAUAUUUUGUCUGUAAAUUUGGCAAAACAAACCCAACCCCUAGCCUUCUUUGCCUCUUGUCAUAUUAUAGCCAUUUCAUAUUUCAUUCUCUUCAUUUUAAAAAGUACCAUAUCAAUCAAAGCAGGAAUGUGGACGUAUAUUGCAGCGUUAGCGAUGCUCUUGUUUGAUUUAAUCAGAAGUAGCAGACCGCUUCUAAUCCAGUAAAUAUCGCAGGCUAGCGAUGUCAUCGAGAGUUAAUUAUGGUCUGGAUAAGUUACUUAAUGUCUAAUUAAUAAUUUAUAUAACAUUUCAGGCCUAAAGAAAGACCUACAAUUGGCAGAUUUAGCUCUUGUUUAAAGGGACAAUGACACUCUUGCUGGCUUGACAGCUCCAGUAAAUAAAUAUUAGCCUUAUUUUAAGUAUUAGAUGUUUAAGUGUCCUACCUAUUGUGUAAAUUAUCCAUUACAUCCUAUUUUUAAAUCCAAGUUACAUUUGAAAAGGUUUAUGUUAGGCUUUUCAAAUCAUUUAGUUGAAGUUUUCCAAUUUUUUAAAUUGUGUGUUUUAAGAUGAAAUUUGUAUCAUCAAUUAAUUGGAAUAUUGUAAAAUAGUACAAUUUGUUGACCAGAAUAAAGAUUGGGACAUAUUAUUCUGUUACAACAAGAGUGGUAUUGAGCCUUUAAUGUAUGUUUAAAAAAUCCAAACCAUUUAUAAUAAGCGCCUGUUUUAUGGAAUAAAAUAUUUCCCGUCUUCAUUAGCCCAGUCGGAGCAGAACAGUUAAACCCCAUUUCAUUUCAUUUUAUGGAAUGGUCUACCAUUUGGUUUAAGAUGUUAUACAUCUCUAUACUCUUUUAAAAAAACAACUUAAAACACUUUUUUAAACAGGAUUUUAACCGACUCUUGUUGUUUUUUUUGUUUGGUUUUUUAUUGUCACUUUGUAAAGUGCCUCUGAGCAUCUUGUGUGAAAGGGCGCACUAUAAAUAUGCUGUAAUAAUAAUAAUAUUAACAAUAAUAAUAACAACAAGGACUGUUGAUAAAAUUUCGA